ACGGGAUUGCCUCAGUAACGGCGAGUGAAGCGGCAACAGCUCAAAUUUGAAAGCCCGCGGGCGUUGUAAUUUGCAGGCGGAUGUUUUGGGGCGGGCGCUGUCUACGUUCCUUGGAACAGGACGCCGCAGAGGGUGAGAGCCCCGUGCGAUGGCGCCUCCAACCGCGUAAAACUCCGCCGACGAGUCGAGUUGUUUGGGAAUGCAGCUCCAAGUGGGUGGUAAAUUCCAUCUAAAGCUAAAUACUGGCGAGAGACCGAUAGCGAACAAGUACAGUGAUGGAAAGAUGAAAAGCACUUUGAAAAGAGAGUGAAACAGCACGUGAAAUUGUUGAAAGGGAAGGGUAUGCGAUUAGCGGCCAGCAGGAGGUGCCUUCUCGUGAAAAGGCCGUGCACCGUCUUCGGACACCGUGCGCGGAGAUGGCGAGGGGGCGCCUGAGGUCUGCGACUCGAGGUUGCUGGCGUAAUGAUUGCAUACCACCCGUCUUGAAACACGGACCA
rnacentral:rRNA from 1 species